GACAGAGGGUGCAAACGUUGUUCGGAAUUACUGGGCGUAAAGCGUGUGUAGGCGGUGUGGCAAGUCGGAUGUGAAAGCCCCGGGCUCAACCCGGGAAGUGCAUUCGAUACUGCCACGCUAGAGUAUCGGAGAGGUUGGUGGAAUUCUCGGUGUAGAGGUGAAAUUCGUAGAUAUCGAGAGGAACACCGGUGGCGAAGGCGGCCAACUGGACGAAUACUGACGCUGAGACUCGAAAGCGUGGGGAGCAAACAGG
rnacentral:rRNA from 1 species